ACACGCUGUUUCUCAUUGUGGCGGCUGGCAGUGUCUCUCUGACUCAGCCUUCCACUUCCCAGCUUUAUUCUCCUCCUUGUCCCGCCUAUACUUCCUGCCUAGCCAAUGGCCAAUCAGUGUUUUAUUUAUUGACCAAUCAGCAACACAUUUGACAUACAGAACAUCCCACAGCACUUCCCCCACUUUUUUUUUCUCAAAAAGGAAGGUUUUAACCUUAACAAAGUAAAAUUACAUAUAAUUUGGGAAUUGGGGCGUAGCUUCUCUUACUACUUCCUGCUGGAGGGGGGCACUGUAUCUUAUGGGGACACAAAGAAAAUUUUAGGAUCAUGGAGUAGUCUGUGAGGCUGUAUCGUCUGAGCCAGUUGCCUUGAAACCAUUCUGGAUGUUGGAUCAUCUGGGCCAUGGUGUCUUCGGAGACCUUUCAGGGGGUCUUGGCUGGUCAAACCUGAUGUGUCUUAAUUUGGAACAAAUCCAUAGCCUCUUGCUUUCUGUGGAAACAAAAGAGACUCUUUUCCAAAGCAACAUAUCCUUACAUCCAAAUUUUGAAGUCAAGGUAUCUUUAAAAUAUACAUACUGGUUUAACACAGCUUCCUUUACAAUCAAAUAUCUCUCUGCAGUUAAGAAUCCCAAAGACAGGGGCUGGAGAGAUGGCUCAGAGGUUAAGAGCACUGGCUGAUCUUUCAGAGGUCCUGAGUUCAAUUCCCAGCAACCACAUGGUAGCUCACAACCACCUGUAAAGAGAUCUGAUGCCCUCUUCUGGUGUGCAGGCAGAACACUGUAUGCAUAAUAAAUAAAUAAAUCUUAAAAAAAAAUCCCAAAGACAACACAAUCCAGAUUCUCUGUGUAAUAUUCAUCUCUACGUGGCUUAUUUUUUAUACUACCUUUACUGUCUCUUUAAAGACUUUAUUUUAAAAAACUAUUUAUUUCUUUAUAUAACUGUAUAUAUUCCUUUUUCUCUCUCUUUCAAGCCUACGUACAUUUUUACUAUUACAUCUGAAUCUGUCUUAUUGUGUUGCUUUAAACUGCAGCAGCUGUGGCUGCUGGCUCCGCCCACCGCAGCUUCCCAACAUGGCUACGUUUACCACCAGCUCUGGGAGCUAUCGUGGGUCUAUGCUUUUAUCCAAGCAGCAUGUAGCCCAGAAACCUCUUUUUUUGUUUUGUACUAGUAAAGGAUAAAUCUACCACACAGCUUAAUGUGCCACUUGCAGAGGCCUCAUUCCCACCAUAUGGCGGCAGGUCAAGCGUGCACGCUAGGAACCCACCAGUAGCUCAAACCGGCAGCUGCCGCUCAUUUGAGAGAGACAAUUAGGAAGCUGUUUUUAGCUCUGUUUUAGAAUCUUUUCUCAGGUUUUAGGUGGAAACUCUUGCCACCACGUUGGACGCCAUUUGUAGCUAGAGUUUCCCUGCCUGGCCCACAGUCAGGACAAAUCUCUCUCACCUGCCAGUCCCACAGCCACUCAGACCCGACCAAGUAAACACAGAGACUUAUAUUGGUUACAAACUGUAUGGCCGUGGCAGGCUUCUUGCUAACUGUUCUUAUAGCUUAAAUUAAUCCAUUUCCAUUAAUCUAUACCUUGCCACGUGGCUCGUGGCUUACCGGCAUCUUCACAUGCUGUUUCUCAUUGUGGCGGCUGGCAGUGUCUCUCUGACUCAGUCUUCCACUUCCCAGCUUUAUUCUCCUCCUUGUCCCGCCUAUACUUCCUGCCUAGCCAAUGGCCAAUCAGUGUUUUAUUUAUUGACCAAUCAGCAACACAUUUGACAUACAGACCAUCCCACAGCAAUACAUACCUCUUGCCCUCUAUCUGAACCAGGACGUAUGUCAGUGCCCCAAAGAUGGACUUGAGAGCACUGGCUCUGUCCCACUUCCUGAUGUGGCCACAUCAAAUAAGUCCCUUCAUUGACAUUUCACUAUUAUUUGUCUCCUUCACUGGCAUAUUAAGGAUAGGUUGACAAUUCUAGUUUGUUAGGGUUGCCAGGUUCCAGGGUCUGACCUUAACAACUUCAGUAACAGAAGCGUGUAUUCCAGUAAAUGCUACUGAGCAACCCCUCUGGGUUUUCUGAAACGUGUAGCAUCACAUCAUGCUUACAGUUGUGCUCCACUGCCGGAAGCUCCUCCCUCUAGUACCAUGGGAUUGUUUCUAACAUCCUACACCAUUUUUAUUCCUCUAUCUUUUAGCCAUUGUCCUUAAAUGGCUUUUGAGACCUACACCCAAAUCUUCUCUUGAAUUUUUUUGGCUUUUUUUGGCCGCCAGAAGCUACUUACAGUGAGACCCAUUGUCUUAUUUAGGAUUUCUAUUGCUGUCAAGAGACACCAUGACCACAGCAACUCUUAUAAAGGAAACCAUUUAACGGUGGUGGCUUGAGUACAGUUCAGAGAUUUAGUCUAUUAUCAUCAUGGAGGAAAGCAAGGCAGCAUGCAGGCAGCAUGGUGCUAGAGGAGCUGAGAGUUCUUACAUCUAGACUCAUAGGCAACAGGAAGUGGUCUGAAACACUGGGCAUGGCUUGAGCAUAUUUGAGACCUCAAAGCCCACCUCCACAGUGACACACUUCCUCUAAUAAGGCCGUACCUACUCCAACAAAGCCUCUCCUCCUAAUAGUGCCCCUCCCUUUGGGGGCCAUUUUCUUUCAAGCCACUACACCCCAUAAUGCCCAACAAAGUUAGUGUUGCAUCGUGAGUAUCAGCCAUAGACCUCUGGACAUGGUGUCAUCAUUGACUUGAGUGCAUCAUCCCACAUUUGGUAAGGUUAAAAGACAAAAUAUAGAGUCUGAAGAUGUGGGUCCAUAUCCUAGCUUUACUACUAAUCAGCUAGAUCAUUUUCGCAAAGAGCUGUUUUUAUUUCAGUUCCCCAAAUCAUAUCCCCAAGAUAUGAUUGUCUCUGCUUCAUGGAUGAUUUGGGUUUGGGGGUAUAAUUCAUUUAUUUAGGUGAAGAUACCAGGAAGCGGUUGAGAGAGAGAGGAUGUGAAUCACAAGGGACGGAAGCAGAUAUUAGGGACCUUACUGAGAAUAUGAUCACCAUGGGCAGCUAUGGCUCAGCCUCUGAAGGACUAGGUAGAACCAAGCCAAAUCAUCUUGACUGAAGAUUGAGGAAGUAGGCUCUUGCUUCCUUUGUUUCUGUUUUUAAAAAUUAAACUACAGAUGUAUGGGGGGAAAUGAAAACCAAGUAAUCUCAUUCUUGUUUCUUCUCCUAACUUGCUGAGAAGAUGGGGAGAUGAAAGAGCAAAACACAGAAACAGCCGGGCGGUGGUGGCGCACGCCUUUAAUCCCAGCACUCAGGAGGCAGAGCCAGGCGGAUCUCUGUGAGUUCGAGGCCAGCCUGGGCUACCAAGUGAGUUCCAGGAAAGGCACAAAGCUACACAGAGAAACCCUGUCUCGAAAAACAAAAAACAAAAAACAAAACAAACAAACAAAAAAAACACAGAAACAAUUGUAUUUAUAUGUAACAGCAAGAAAUAAUGGGGGGGGGGGGGGCGUUGAAUGUUUUAAAUACCACUGUGUUAGUCAAGUUUUCACCUUCCUAACAGAUACCUGAGAAAGUUCAAAAGAAAGACAGAUGUAUUUUGGAUCACAGUUUCAGAACAGCUUGCUUCAUGGAAGCAGAGGAGAUAUGCUAGUGGGAUUCUUUCUUUGCCUUUUAUUCCAUCUUGGCGCUUAGCCUAUCAGGUCUUUCUCCCAUAGUCGUUCUUCUCUGGAACUGCUCUCGCAGCUAAAUCCAGUAGCAAGCUUUUCUAACCCCUCAGAGGCCUCCCAAUCCAAUUACCUUGACAGUCAAAACUGGUCGUCACAACACUUACAGUAUGCGCUGGUUUGCAAAACCUCCCAAACUCAUAUUGUCCUUUAGCUCCCCAGUGUAACAGUGUUGAGAGACUGUACGACCUUCAGGAAAUGAUUGGCAUUAGAAGAUGACCUUGACAGUGGGUUGUCACACCACUCUGCACUGUCCCCUUAGCAUACCUGCUUGUCCUCCGCUUUGUCACCACGAACACGAGGCCCUCAUCAGACACAGCCAUUUACUCUUGGUUUUCCAGCCUCCAGAAUCCAUGAGCCAGAUAAAAAUCUUUUGUAAAAAUCCUCUAUGCUGAAAACUAUGAGUAUUGCAGAGAGAAGUUAAAGAAUUUGUAAGUAAAUUGAGGAAAAUGCUGAUCAGGACAUGUAACAUGGCUGAGGGAGCGGUUCUCAGAUUAACCUAUAUACUCAAUGAAAUCCUAAUAAAAUUCCCAGCAGGGUUUGUUUUUUGAGAUAUUGACAAAAUGAUUAUAACAUUAUAUAGAAAUGCAGAGCCCUAGAAAAGAAACAAACAAACAAGAACUCACAAAACAAACUUUAAAAAAGAAGAAACCCAGAGGACUAAGAUUGUUUUCAAAACUUAUUAUGGGAACUAGAGAGACAGCUCAGCAGUUAAAAGCACUUUCUGCGCUUGUGGAAGACCCUGGUUCUGUCCCUAGCACCCAUAUAGAAGCUGACAAUCAUCUGUAACUCCAGUUCUAAGGGAUCCACGACCCGCUUCUAGCCUCAGCAGGCACAUGAUGUCCAUACAUUCAUGCAGGCAAAACACACAGACACAGAAGAUAAAAAUAAAUAUUUUUAGGAAGACUUAUUAUGGGGUUUCUGUAAUAUAUUGCUUUAACCAGAAAGAAACCACCCAGGUGUCCUCUACACCCAAGAUUUUAGUUGAGGAACUUGGUGGACACACUUAAAAGCUAGAUAGUGGAGGACUUUGGACACAUGCCGGAAGUACUAACCUGAGCCUAAGUCUUGGUUCAGCCUUAUGAUGUUUGCACUCCUGUGACACUCUUUGCAGCUCUUCCUCAGAUUUAUGUAUAUGGGAUGAACUUAGAAUAAGAAGCAGAGAGAAGCUUAGCAUGGUGAUCCUGGAGAAGGAACUGGAUUAUAGAGAACGUUGACGUACUGCUCUAGCAUUUCCUAGAGACUGAGCAUGUUCUGUGUGCUUUUUCAUAACUGACUUCUGAACAUUCUGAAAAAGGUUCAGAAAACAGAAGUGGGGGAUAGUGAGCUUUACAAAACAGAACUAAUUUGAAAUGUACAAAAACUAGCUUUCUUAAACAAGAGCACUGGGCUAGGAAGUGAGAAGUAUGAGUGAUUUCUGCUUUGGCUGUGAGCUGGGAACAAGCACCAUCAAGUCUCUGUGUGAAGCCCAUGUUCCCCAUACACACCUCCAGCAUUCCAGGAGCAGUUGGUAAUGUGUACAAAAACACCAAUAUAAGCUGGCAUGGUGGCACUGGCUUUUAAUUCCAGGACUAGAGAGGCAGAAGAAUCAUUAAUUCUAAGCCAGCUUUGUCUCACAUAAGUAAAAAAUGUGACAAACAGCUCCACCAACAAAAAAUCCCCCCCCACACCAAAUGACAAUACAAGCAAAUAAAUAGAAUUAUUUUCCCCCAUGUUUAGGCUUCUAGUCAACUAAACUUUGCGUUUUCAUUGUUUUGAAAGCUUUUUAUGUAGUGUAAUUCUUCAAUCUACAUUUCAGAAGAGGAUAAUAUCAAGUUGGCUAAUUCAGGUUGUGUUCAAAGUCUCCAGGUUUAGAACAAAGUCUUCUGAUACGGGCAUUUGUCCACUCUAACUCCCGGGAUACAAAGGGAUCUCUUAGUCCCUGAAAACACAUGUCCCUGUCAUUGCAGAACCCGCAGGCAUCACUGCCUGGAUAAAGAUAGUCAAGAUAUUUUUUUCUCCAUUGGCUUAUGAAAAAAAACUCAUACCAUAUUAUGUUUUUUUUUCUCCCCUGCACUAGCUUCUGUAGGAUUUAUGAAUUUCACCUAGCAGUGCGUGUGUGUGUGUGUGUGUGUGUGUGUGUGUGUGUGUGUGUGUGUGUGUUGAGUUUUGAUACCUAUCUCUUUGUGUGUUAGUGAGCAGGGUAGAAAAAUGCAAACAACAGACUAACAGAAGAGAAAAUAUCUCAUGAAUAGUCUUAGACACAUUUAAUAUUGUUGAUGAUAUUCUGUGAUAAAAUGGAACCAUAGGAUCAGGAUUUAUAUAUUUAUUUGCUUACUAAAUUGGCUUCAUGUUCUGGUAGGCAAAUUAAAUGUAAUUUAGCUUCUAAGGAUUUUGAGCAUAUUCUUGUUUGGUGUUUGUUUUAUUUUAUAUUUCUAUUUAUUGAUGUAUUUUAGGUAUUUUUUGUUUGUUUGAGAGAAGGUCUCCUGAAAGUCAUGUUGACCUCAAACUAGCUUUUCAGCUAAGAAUGACCUUGAACUCCUGAUUCUUUUGUCUUUACCUCCCAGGUGCUGGAUUACUGGCAAGCACCACAACAUCUGGCCUAUUUUAUAUUUUUGAAGAGAAAAUAAAUUGGCUGGAUCCGAGAUUUGCUCAGAAAACUUUAAUAACUGAGCUUCACCGUAGCCUUCUCCUAGAGAGACUGGCCCCUCCUGGCCUUAGCUUAGGCUGAGCCAGAAGAGGCUGGAUAUGAGGGUUAGAUUUCUUCUAAAUGUGGGUUUCAGAACAGAUAAUUUAAAAUAUAUAUUUUGGCUGACAGUUUGGUAUCCCAGUCAUCCCUUUCCAAGGCGGGGAUGACUUUCUUUCUGUACAGUAUAUUGUUCUUUCUGCGGGUGUAUAAGCCUAGAUGCUGAGGGCUGGCCACAUUGCUUUGCACCAAAACAACUUUUGAUAGGCACUUGUUUCUUGUGUGUAUAAUUAAAUCAUAAUGUAAAGAUGAUUGGUUUAUUCAUUUUUUUAAAAAAGACCCAGUUAGUAAAAAAAUAGGAAAAGGGGGGAAGCAUGAAAAUAAGAUGACUUUAUGUUUUUAAGAUGAAACCUCCAAAUAGGUAUUUAACGGAAAACAUUUAAUUUUUCCCCCUUUAUUUGCAUUUGUAGUGUGCAGAAAAACAAGACAGCCUCAUCGCACUGGAGUUAACAGAAGCCAUCCUUGGAAAUGUCUUCACUGAUAUGGCUCCAUCUGUAUUUCAAACACCUCAACUUCACACCAUCACACAGUGAGUGAAGAAGACCCAGGAUUCAGUCAAAUUCAUCCUUCUGAAAAACUGCAAAUGAGGAUACUAUUGAUUAAAGUCGACUGUUGUCUACGUGAAUCACCCAGAUUAAAAUCUAAAUUUCAAGAAAAUGGGCUGCGAAGGAUGCGGUUGGGCGUCCGACAAACCCUCAGCUGAACUAUAAAGCUGGGACUGAGCCUUCCCAAAUCUUUUCUAGGCAAGAGGUCCCAACAGUCCGCGUGGGGCUCGUGUGCUUCUUAAGAGUGGCUAGAGAGUCCCCAUCCCCCAAGCCCAGACGCACUAGGAGCCGGGUGAACCAUUCUGGGCUGUCAAAACACAAGGCGCCGUGCUCAAUCCCAAUAACUCGAGUGAUGAUUAAUGAGCGGCUUGAUCAUUUAAUAUCUCAUGUGAUUAAAUUAUAAGGCGUGGGGGAGGGGAGCUCCGCACACUCCCGACCGGUGGGGGACACGGAUCAGCCAGCGAGUACCGGCAGCGCUCGAGCGGUGCACUCCUGCUUCGAACAUCGCCUGGUGUGGCUCCGCCACCGUGGGUCGGCGCCUUCUCAAGAUCAUUUUCAGUUUGAUGAUGUUUGAGAUCUACCCUUUGAGAUCUGCAGCACAGCUGUCCAAGUCGGUGGUGCAAUCGGCGGCGGCAUUGUUCUGCAGGACUUGCAGGUACGCAUCUAGAGGGACCUUUUCUUCCACCGGAGCGCGAGGUGGUGUGCAUUGAUUUCACCCCUCACUCUCCGCCCUGCUGCCCAACAUCAUUUAGGCCAAGAUCGGGUAUAAUGGAAAACACCAUCAGCAGACAAUUACCCUUUCAGAGGAUUCACUUCUCCUCGCAGACACUGUUAUUUGAGAAAUAGGAUCAUUUGAUUUCAUAUUGCACUAAAUAACACCCAGCCGGUUCAAAUUGCCAGCUUCUUAAAAACCGCCCAUUGGAAUAAAUUGCAAUGGCCUCUUUUGCUUUUCAGGCCAAUACUGUGGGUACCCGGCAGAAGUUACAAAAAUAACUAUAAAGCCAACCCUGAGCAGUCGACACCGUGGUCCCCCGCCCCACCCCCACGCCCAAAUUUGAGAUGGCUCUGCCACUUGACUUUGGAAUUAAAAUGCACAGUUUCAGUCACCCAGGAAGCGCUUCGAACCACAAAGUGCAUUAGUGUUCAUCAGAGGAAGAUGGUGUGGUGCAGAAGACAACCAGUUCUGUAUAUCCUGCUUGGUUGCCUUGCAUCGUUAGCGUGCUUGAGAACUGUUGUAGUUCUGGGCUUUACUACCCCGCCUGCGCCUUUCCGGUUCCCCAGGUCUCUCAUUCCCAGAGCCAAGUGCCACCACUGCGGGUACCGCGGGUACAACCGCAUGUCCUCUAGCACUGCUCCUUCUUCCCUCGCAGUUAGAGCCAGUUGGGGAUCUACGACCCCAAGAGUCCGCCUAGAUGGCAGAGGGGUAAGCUGCAUUGGGGCAUCAGCGCCUAGCGGAGUGGGAGAGCCGAGAAGACCAGAAGCCCGCAGAGAACGUCAGUUCACUGCGCACGCACCACCCCAGACAUUUUAGGAAAUAUUAAGCCCUCUGAAGUUGACCAUUUUGCUAUGGUUUAAUUGACACUGUUCAACUGAGUGGCAAUUGUUCUGCUGGUGGGGGUGAUCCAUCCCCGCCCCAUGCGCUUAUUAAAAAUGGGUCCUUGGUCCUUGGCUCCUUCAUGCCAAGAGAUAGAGUGUGUUUAAGACACACAAAGUUUUGGCAAAUCUGUCCUUUGGAGCCUUUCUUUGUUAGAUUUAUGUUUAUAUGCUUCAGGAAGGUGGAUUAGAUUUUUUUUUUCUCUCCUAGAUAAACUGAAGGCAGGAUCCCGGAGCUCUCCCUGUGCACCCCCAUUGCCCGCAGGAGCAAGAAGGAGCCUUUUGCAGGCCAGUUAGAAAAGGCCCUUAGUGACCUGCUGGAGAGACUUUCCUUUUUGGUGGAAAUGGGAGGAGUCAGGGAGAAGGGAGUUGUGGGCCCUUCGGGACUGUUCAGGAGUAUUUAGUUCCUCCCUGCUGGGCAGGCGCUUGGGGCAGGGUUGGUGGUAACUGGGAAAACGUGGGCUGUCUAAGAUUCGUAAGAUGGGUUGUUGGGAGAGCAGAGGACUUCACUGUGCUCUCAUUCUGCACUUGGCCUUGUCCUGAGAACCCUUAGCCUCGCUUCUCCAUAGCAUUCUGUCAGGUCACUUUUCUUGCUCAUCAAUAAAAGUCUACCCAGGAGGCCCAUGGUACCCAAAUAAAAAUCUGGGCAAUUAGCCUUGGAUGCUGCCUUCUGGAACUGGAAAGAAAACCGUGGGGCUCAGUUUCCCACGCCACCAGAUCUGGCCUUGCGGUAUCCGGAUCCAAGGCAGGCCUGGGACUGACCAAUCGAUCCCAGGGAGAGUUCUGGCGCCUGCUCUUUACCAUCGUUAACACUAAGACGGUCGUGCAAGUCCUGGUGCCUCACUUCGCCCACCCCAAUAGCCUCCUGGCCGGCCAUCCUCAAUUGGAGUAACCCCUUUCAACUCCCCAUCUCUUCUGGGUGGACUACACAACCCAAGAACAAUUUUUUUCCCCAAAGUGCUAAGGCCACAAGGACAGUUUUCCUAAGAGAGGCUGGAACACAGAGAUUAAAUUCCGAGGUUCAGGAAAAGCGGUCUUAAGGAGAUCCAAAGUUCACUGCCUGUGCAAACCGAACCUCAGAGCUUGUGUUGGAACAGCUGCGUGCGGCCGCUGGCACAGGCUGCUGGGCAUCGGACUGCUCCCCGGGGGACCUGGAGGAGACUCCUGGGAGGGUGUGGAAGGACCUUUCUCUCCACACAUGCCUUUGACACUCUCCUCCCACGCCGGAGUCCAGAGAAUGUGAAUUAGGGUCGACCUGCGACACCAGCUGGGGAAGUCGUGUCCGCCCUGUCCAGGCCUGCGAGCCUAGGUGAGGGCAGUGGGACAGCUGUCGCGGCUCCAGUUGCUUUGGGGAGUGGCUAAGUAGGUCAGCCCCUUUGCCCACUAUUAUCGCCACCCCCCCCCGCCCCGCGCGGUCGCUCGCGUGUCAGGGCCGGUCCCCGUGCCACCCUCACUCGCGCGUCGUCCCUCCAAGUCGCAGCAUUUACCAGCGCGUUUUGUCCCGCAGUUGGAUUCCAGGCUGAGGGGCUGUAACCGUGCUCUCCUCCGACGGACGCUAAUCAAGUAAUUUCCCCAUCCCAGUCCCAUCAAAUUGCUCUUUAGCUGUUGAACCACGGAGUUUUGCUCGUCUUUUCACAUGCUAAUCACGCCCAUUCAACGGCUCUCGGUGGGGCUGUUUGUCGCGGGAUAAAUCUCCUUGUUUGCCCGCUGCAUGAUUAAUUGAUAUUGUUGUCUGGCUUUUGUGGGGACCGCUAGGAGCUGAAAGGCGACGCAUCGUGGCUGCGCCGGGGGCCGCUGGCGACAUCUUCGGGCUGCGGAGGUCCCCGCAAGGUCGGGCCAGGGCUGAUGACAUUAUGCGCCCGAUUUGGUUUUCCUUAUUAGAACGAUGAUGAAAGACUUGGAGAUCCCAGUCUUUACAGCCCACCACCGGGGCGCAGAAACCACACAGCGUUUAAGCCACAAGCGCAGACAAAGCCCUGGCAUUUGCUCAAUUCAGGGAAACGAGUUGGGUGUCCACGCAGGAAACAAUUACAUCUUAUUUCGGCCCACCCGGGAUUUCAGUGGAGUUGAAUGUGGGAGUGCCUCGUAGAGGUUUGGGUUCUCAAACAAUUUUUUUUUUCAGUGUUUUUGAUUGAGGGCAAUAAGAGAAAACUAACAGUAAAGGGAGCCACCCUUUUGCCGGACAGUUGCAGGUAGCGGUCCGGCAAACGCCCACGCAAAGGCGCCUAGGCGCUGGAUACUGUGUUUGUGGCUUUGCAGAAGGGCGCUGUUCUGUCCCUGCCUUGCCAUCCACCACCAAGGUCCGCCGGGACGCGAGCAUUAAGGCGCCGGUCAGUCUGCAAAUUCACAUUUUAUUCGACAGUACUGGUGCUGUAUUUUUCUGAACCUCUGGCAGAUGUGUAACCAAACUUCCAAAUUCCUCCGCCCCCUCUGCACCCCUCCUCUGCGCCCUGGGGUUUUAUCCUCCACAGACAUCCCUAAAACUUGGAGAUUCAAUUAAACAAUUCCAGCUACGCAGAGCUCCUACGGUUUGCUUAUUGCAAAUAUUUCCUUUUUCGAGUUCUUAAAAGAAAAAAAAAAAGCAAAGUAAAGAAAAGAAACUGUCGCCUUCGCUUUCACUGAGCGCGGGGUAAUUGAUAGGCGCCAUCAGAGGUCAGAAUUUGCAUAAGAAUUAAGAGCAGUAAAUUAAUUUAAUAUUCCGUGCACAUCUCCAAUUAUUCCUGAAGACCUUUGUCUCCGCGGCUGCCAGAGAGGGGAUUCAGCUGCUCUUCAACCAAACAACAUCUGUGCGGUUAAUAAUUUGAUAAACAGCUCAUACAAAUAGUUUCUGAAUUAUCUGGCUGCCCAAUGACUAUUCAGUUUGGAAACGUUUUGGCAGGGUCUCCUGAAGUCCUCGGAGGGGCUCAGGCUCCCGCCCGGACAAAUGUCCCAUCUUUUAAACAUCAGCAGAAGACAAUGUGUAAAAUAAGUCAUUAUCAUUGAGUAAUAAUCCUAACCCUCAAAAAAAAAAAAAAAAAAGACACAGCCUGGGUGUUCAGGGUUAGGGCAGGUCGUCUAUUAGAGACUCUGCCUGUGAUAAAUAAACAGGCUAGGGGUUGGAUAGAGUGAAGACAUACUGUGUGUGUAGGAAAGAUGGGGUGUUGGGGAGACUGAAGAGAGGUGCAGGAUGCUUCGUUUAACCUUUUUACAGUUGAAUGACUGGACUUGUACAUUAAAAAAAUACUCAAGGAUUUUUGGGGGGAUGAUGGACUAGAAAACCAAGGUGUCGGGAGAAGCAGAUGGAGACUAAUUUUCCACUAUGUUCCUUCUGGUAUCUUUUAUUUUUCUCUCUACAGACAAGUGUCAUUUAUUUUUUAAAAAAAAUGCAUACCAAAGUUUGAGGACUGGAAAGUAAGUUAUGUUGGCUCCUCUGGGCUUUGAUGGAUUUGUCUCUGGUUUGUCCCUAUGCUCCUCUUUGGACACACCCCCUCCUUCCCACCAUGAUUCACCCACCAGUAUCAUGAAAACAGCUUCUCACAAAGCCCAGGUAUGUACAAGACAGAUGGAGAGGGCCCCCCGGCAAAGCUUCGAGUUGGCCCAGCUAGAGAAACAGCCAUAAUAAGAUGAUGCCGUCCUAUGUCAAACCCGGCCUGAAUUUAGACACUAACCCCUCACUGUUACACUGAAGAUGUCAUGGCUGUCAUUAUGUCCUAUUAUCUUCCUGCCACCCUUAGCAAAGCCUCUUCCUGAUACAAAGUCUAGAAAGGAACCAUUUGAUCUUGAAUGAGACUCAGACUGCUCUAAUUCCUGCAACCUGUGCAUUGCGGCUGUUUACUGCGAAUCUGCAUUUACCCUGGAAUUGUUCUGCAGUGACUUCAAUCUAACAGGGUGUUCCACAAGAGUCUUUAUCUCUGUCUAUACAUUUCCAUAUGUUUGAUGUACACACCUCAUACAUUCAGUAUUCCACUUUCUAUUUCCCACACUGCUGACAAUCUAAGUACUUGAAGCCACUGAAAACUACCCAGAAGUUCUGAGUAGUGUCAAGGCAGUAAUAUGAUAGACUUCUGCUCUAACGAGCCCCUGGUAGCAUUGAGCUUUAAAGGCAGGCAAACCCUUCAGGCUAUCGGUCUAAAUACACAACUUUACAAUGAAUACAAUACUUGCCUGGGCUCCACUGAAGAAUCACUUUUCCAGAAAACAAGUCAUUGUGCCACACAAAUAGGACAAGAGUAUCUCUUCCAGGCACAUUUAUUUCUGUUUUAGACAUUUUUUUGUUUUGUUUUUUUGGUUUUUCGAGACAGGGUUUCUCUGUGUAGCUUUGCGCCUUUCCUGGAACUCACUUGGUAGCCCAGGCUGGCCUCGAACUCACAGAGAUCCGCCUGGCUCUGCCUCCCGAGUGCUGGGAUUAAAGGCGUGCGCCACCACCGCCCGGCCAACAUUUUUCUCUUACAUUUCAUUAGGUUUCUCUACACAACUGUAGAUACAGUGGGGUCUUGCAGGCUUUUAUAUGCAUAUAUAAAUCAUCUCUGUUCUUUAUAAUGGGGGGUAUCUGCCUAUAUCUUUUUAUUAAUUUCUGACUUUGAUUCAGACUUCUCUAGUCACCCAGAGUGACUUGAAAACAUUUCUUUUCUUAAAUGGAGCAUUACCAAUUCUUUGGGGAGCCAUUCUAAUUUUAAAUACCAACAUAUUCAAAUGCGUAAUCUCCAGCUCUGAUGCUACUCAUUUUUAUGCUCACAACCUACCCACUUUGGAUUCUUUUAAACUCCAUAUUUAUCUUCCUUACAUGUGUUUGACUAAUUUUUUUUUUUUAAAGCAGUGUGGGCAGAAAAAUGGUUAGUAAAGAAGGCAGAUGACUGAUUAUAUUUUUGACUCUGUAAAUAAAGACACUAAACAUGAAAAGUUGGGAUUCUUUUCCUACUAAUGAAAUCCUGUUCAGAAAAGCUUUCUGGACACCAUUGAAGUUAGUGAGUUUGGAAAGCCUGUCCCCAUAAAUGCUUGGCUCUUUGGCGAUGAAACACAUAUUGCCAACUGUCUGCUGAUGUAGCUAUAUCUUUGGAGGUUUGAGUAGAACCAGAACUUGGUCCAGUAUGUUUGCAGGUAACCAACUUCCUCCGUAGAGUUCCAGUCAGAGGUAACUCUUCUUCCUCAUGUUCAUGAGCACUUGAACAUAUUGGGGCUGUUGCAAUGAGUGAUAUUCGGUGACUUAAAGGAGAAAACUCUUGGGGUUGACAAGAUAACUCAGCAGAUAAAGGCACUUGCCACCAAGCCUGACCACCUGAGUUCCAAUCCCCAAACCACAUGUGAGAGAAAGAGAGAAGUGACUCCCAUAAAUUGUCCUCUGACCUCCACACAAAUGCCAUGGCACACAUGCUCUCUUUGUCUCUUCCUCUAAAUGAAUGAAUGAGUGGAUGAGUAUAGUUUAAAAUAAAAAAAAAAUUUAAAAAGCACAAAUUUGAUAAUUUCUUACCAAAGUUGGAAAAGGAAAUACGUGAGUAUGUCUUGGGGAAAAUUUAAUGGCCAGGAGGCCAAAUGAUGAUUUAAAGAUUCAGUGUGUUCUUUAUUUAGAUAAAAGAUGUCCCCCCAUUCCUGGGAAGCAAACCUAGGCUCUUUAAGAUACACUCCACUAGGAUUUCUUUCUUUCUUUUUUUUGAAAGCUACAAAUAGUGUAUAAUCAUGAAAUUCUUCUUAUAAACAAAUUCUUCUAAAUACUUCUGUUGGCAUGAGUAAACACAAUUUUUAUAUAUCUGGUCAGCUUAACACUCAAAAUUUAUAAAACUUUGAAUCUGAAAAAUGUAGACAUACAGAAAAGUUAUGAACAGGAUCACCUAACUAAAGUGGUCUGUUCUCAUUGUCUCCUAUUUUCAUACCUAAAUGAACUGUGUUAGCUACAUAAAUUCUCCACCUGUGAUACUGGUUCAAAAGGAUGUAUCUUUGUGGGCUUUGGAUGUUUGGAAACCACAGAAGCAAGCCUGGGUUCUCCAGAGAUGAUUAUCAAAAGUUUCUGGUCACCAAGGAUAUCUGUUAGAUCCCUGGUUCUUUCCCAUUCUAUCCUGGCCAGGAUUGUAUUUAGGCAGAUCCAUCUUUACUCUUCAGGGGCUCGCUUCACAUCACUGUGACUGUAGCUUUGUAAACUUGUUAGCAAAGGUUCUGCAUAAGUCAAUAGAGCUCUUUGGUGAAGGGGUACCAUUGAAAGAAUCUAUGCCAAGAACCAAGGCCAACAUGGUUCUGCUUAAAAGGAAGAAUCAUGGGUAAUAGGCAUCUUUGAGUUUCCUUUGUUGCUUGAGUUGCUCUGAAAGUCUGAUCCAGUAAACCUGACCCAAGAGGGAGUUCAGGAGCAUGUUCUGCUUUACUGACUCUGUGAUGAGGGGAGAGAGAUCCGCCUAAUACCAGAUCCACCAACAUGGCGUUUGAGACUUUCUAUAGCAGGCCUGGAAUCAAAGUGAAAUACAAAGGAAAAGUUGUGGGCAGAGAAGCUCAUGGUUCUACUUGCUCACUCACUAACUGCAGGCACUUGAGUAAUUGCCUAAUUUCCUAUGUCACAGACUACAAGUCUGCCACUUUUUACCAUUUAUUUUCUUCUUGUAGUAUAUACAUGGCUGUCCAGCUGAACUGCAUAGCUUAGUGUCCUUUGCAGCUAUAUAUGGCCCAGGAAACUAUGUUCUCACCAAUGAGACAUAAGCAGAUUGGUGUGCAUACUUGUUAUCUCAUGUUUAUCUCUCUUUCUUCUCACUGUCUGGGAAUGACAUAAUAGAAACUCUGGGAUCCCAUGUGCUGUCUUCCUGGAUCAGAGUCAUCUCUUUUACUCUGGAAUAUUAUGUGAAGAGAAAGGAAUUUCUAUUUUGAUUUUAAACUUUCAUAGUUUUAUGGCAUAUAUUCAGAGCAAUCUUCUUCCUAGCUUUGGCCUUCUUCUUCUUCUUCUUCUUCUUCUUCUUCUUCUUCUUCUUCUUCUUCUUCUUCUUCUUCUUCUUCUUCUUCUUCUUCUCCUUCUUCUCCUCCUCUUUCUUCUUCUUCUUCUUUUUCUUGUUUUUGAGACAGGGUUUCUCUGUGUUGUUUUGGUACCUGUCCUGGAUCUCGCUCUGUAAAUCAGGCUGGCCUCGAACUCACAGAGAUCUGCCUGGCUCUGCCUCCCAACUGCUGGUACCAAAGGUGUGCGCCACCACCGCCCGGCUUAGCUUUGGUUUUCUUAACCAGGGAAUGAGAAUAUAUUGGUUCUGAUUUCUUCAAAAGCAAGCAUUGUUGUAGAAGGUGAGCCCAGAAAACAGCAUGGGAAGAAAGGCAACUUUCUGGUAUCAGGAAAAAGGAAUUCCAUUGCAGUGUGUUAUAAAGCAAAUUAUGGGCAACUAGACUUUAAUUCUUUGGAAGACUAGGGAGAUUGUGAGCCCAUAUGAGUUGGAGUGUGUAUGCUCCAAUCACCCUCUGUCAUUAGCUGAAGGCUAUUCUUUGUGAGGAUGACUUCCCCAACAAGAUUAGCUACAGAAGGGGAAACCAAGGUGCUGGUGGUUGGCCACUGAACUGCUACACACUAAGGUAGAAAAGUGAAGGACUGCAGACAGGACACUGUAUAGCACCUACCACAGAGGACUUUGGAUAGAUGUUCUUAAGAUCUGCUUCCUGUAUUAAAGUUAUUUGGGUUCAACAUUAAUGUGUAUUCUUCUAGCUGCCAAUCUGAAAUGCCUCCUCCAGAUGGACUGGUUUGCAAACUUAAGAGUUUCUCAUAUGAGUUUGUUCUUAUUUUUAUUCUCUCUUUUCAUGGGAAAUCAGUUACUUACUCUUGAAUUGCCUUUAUUAAUGCUGAAUCACUUGUCUAUUGCUUUCUAACCAACCACUGUGACUUCAUGGAUUAAAGUAAUACUUUCUGUGGGUCAGGAAUCUAGGCAGAACUUGCUGGGCAUUUCUUCAUGGAGGGUCGGUGUUUGUGUAGAAAUUCCAAGAUGACCUCUUAUUCCCCAGAGCCUAUAUUCAUAUGGCUUCUAAUUAUCCUAUGGCCUAACAGAGACAUCUCACCUGCACAGCAACUAGAUUGGAAGGGAAAGGCAGUGGGAAAUGAAGGUCUUUUAAAGGCCCAGACAGUCCAAGGUCCAGAAAAUGUUACUCUGGUCUCAUUCUUUAGGUCAAAACAGUCAAAAAGGUGGUCUAGGUCAAAGAGAAAUUGGCUCCCCUCCCUGAUGAGAGGAGUUUCAUGAGAUGGGAGGAAUGUGGGUACUGUCCACCUUGCCCAUGCACCCCUCUUUCCACUUAUCCCAAUCCCUAGGACACAUUUCUAUUCUGCAUCAUAUAGGAAGUCCAUAAUGCUAGUCCACAAAGGUCUUCUAGUCCUUGUUCCCACCCAAACUGUUAAGGUAUUUAUCAGCUGUGCUUAUUGAGUCUUCCUUAGUUAUUUAUUGUCUUGUGAAAUUCUUUGUCACAACUUACUGUUGAUCUUCCAGGACAGAAAAUGGAGGUUAGCGUUCCAAGGAUACUUUGAACAGUUAGAAUCACAUGGUUAGAAUCAGAUUCUUCAUGAACAUUUGUACACAUACAAAGGACACAACGUGAGAGCCAGGCAGAGAGAGUGUAUUAACAUCUAGAGCAGUAAAACUCAUUUCUAGUAUCUUAUUCCAGAGUAUUCAACUACAUUCUAAAAUUAGGUAUUUUAAAAAAUCCUCCUGGCAUAAAUGAGACCUGGAUGACACAUGUAAAUCUACAUGUAGAAAUGCUUGUGAAUGGAACGGAUCACCUGGAAGGCCCAAACUUCUUCCCAGAUACUAGCAGCCCCACCAUGAUGUUCUAUCCCCUGCUAAAGCAUUAGUCUUUUAAAAAAAUUUAAAUAACUGUUGGAGAGAAAACUGGGUCAGGGUGCCUGGCGGUGGUGUCGCAUGCCUUUAAUUUCAGCACCUGGGAGGCAGAGGCAAGCAGAUCUCUGUGAGUUCAAGGCCAACCUGGUCUACAGAGUGAGUUUCAGGACAGGCUCCAAAGCUACACAGAGAAACCCUGUCUCAAAAAAAAAAAAAAAAAAAAAUGGGUCAAGGAGGGUAUAACUUUAAAUAUCUGUGUCUUAGUGUUAAUUAACUGAUGAGAACAAUGUUUCCCUUUCUCUUACAGAAGAAAGCAGAGCCAGAUCAAUGUUCUGGAAGAUCACAGGUUACUGGUGCUAAGGAAUGGAGAACUGAGAAUGAGAUAGAUGAAAAUGUGAGCAGCUAGCUUCUUGUUCCUGUUGCCAUGCUUUCCCCACCACGAUAGACUAUGUCCUCUGGAACGGUGUGCACUUUAUGAAAAACGGAAAAUACCAGCAUCCUUGCUUUGUAAGGUGCUUCUUCCUGGUUAUUUGAGCAGGUCAAAUUCCUCCAGGCAACGGAGCAAAUGAGCAAGGGCAGAUUGCGCAGUACUUGGAGACAAGCGCAUCCAGGCAUCCAGGCGAGAGCAGGACGUGUGUGCGGUGUGCUUGCAGGGCCAGCAUCCUUGAUCAGAAGCCUCGCCAGCUUUGACCAGCACCCGCAGGCUGCAUCGGAAGCAUCUGGAGACAUAUUUGAUGGAACACCCCAUAAUUAGACCGGCUGGCUUAAUUAGGAGAAGUUUGUGGGUAGAGGGUUGCUGAGGGGCUGUGCUGGGAUCUGAAGGUUUACUGCCUCCUCCCAGGAGGCCUGGGACACAAAGCUCCACCCGCUGAGUGUGCAUGUGUUGGUGUCUGAAGAUCCAAGACAGCUCUGUAGCAUCUGUGAACCCAAGGCAGGGGACCAGGGGACCGGCCCCUGCAACAAAAACAACAGCCGUCACAUUCAUUCCCUCACCCCUUAGAUAUAACAAGACAAACAGGAGGAACACUCAGAUACUUAGAUCACUGUGUGCAAGCCACUCUGGAAGGUAUGUUUUGAAACUGGCUUCCAGAGGCUAGCGGCAGGAGGAUAUGGACCGUGAUGUUCAUCUUACUCUUGGGAAUUCCUCCUGUAGCAGAAAAAUGCAUCAUCCUAAGGGCUCCUUAGGAAUCAAGGCCUUAAUUGCCCAGCCCUACCAGUCAAAGCUUUCCAACCAUCUUAGAAACACCAGACACUGCCCACGGAAUCAGCUCCCAGCAACGCAGACGAUAGAGCAGGGCUGGUGGUACAAUGCACAUCUGGGAGACAUCUGGGCAUAAUUUUAAAGCAAAUGCAGACCAAGUCGUUGCAAGCCUCAGGACUCUAGGUGCUGUGGGUUAAACAUGCACAGGAGGAUGAGGGAAGAACAGGAUGGAACCCAUCCAUGGUAGGGGAAUACAGUGGCCAUAAGAGAGACCACAGCUAUCAGUGUAUUCCAAACUCCAUAUUCACUGACUCUGUUCACAUGCCUAGAAGCGGUUCUUUUUCCACUCACACAAGGAAAGAGUAAGGAAGAAAGAAGAGUGUGUGUGUGUGUGUGUGUGUGUGUGUGUGUAUGUGUGUGUGUGUGCAUGUGCGUGCGCCUGCAUGCAGGCACACAUGCAGGAAAGUUCAUGCAUGGGUGCCUGUGUGUAGGGUUUAUUUUCCCCUCAAGUCAGCAAUUUUUGCUUUCUGGGGUAUGAAUGCUAUUUAUUGCUAGCAUGCUAUUAGUAAACAGGAACAGACAUCAAUAAUCUGUUCCCACUUUACCAAAUUAAAAUGAUUUCCCUGCUUUAUAGAGAUGAGGUGAUUUGUACAUCAGGCCAUUCAGGAUAUGAAAAAUGAGAUGUGUUCCCUAAAUAUCUCACUUGAUAGAAACAUUUGAUGAAACACACUUCAAGCCACUCAUGGUAUCAAUUUUAAACUAAGCCAUCCAGGUAGUCUGCAUGGAAACAGGCCAUGCGGAGGACCUAGCUGUUGAAUUUUUAAUGUGUUGUUGAAAAACAUUAAUGGGCUUCAUUGUGAAAUCCUAAAAAUGGGUUUCAAAUGUAUUUGAACAGAAUUCUUCACAAAAUGAUGAAAUCUACAUUCCAGCUACUUACAACUCAGUCCUUUGUUUCUCUUUUAAAUUUCCUUUUAUUUUUUUUUUUAUAGAUGUGCCUAUGAUAUGUGUGUAUGUGAGUGCUAACUAGUGUUUUCAUACCAGGUUCCGAAUAUGGAGGUCAGAAGACAGCUUUUGGGAGCUGAUUCGAGGUUUGAACUCAGGUUAUGAGGCCUGUGCUGCAAGCGCCUUUACUUGCUGAGCCAUCUAGUCAGCCCUUAAUGCUUUUUACAAUCUCGAUUUGUGAGUUAAAUAAUCAGUGUUUCAGAGAACUUUGCCUUUAGCAACUAAAAAGAGGAAGGGUGGAGAAAGCGUGGGGGAAAUGCUGGAAAUACCUACAGUGUUUCUGGCAUCCAAGAGGACCACUGAAGGGUAAAAAAUUCUCUUAUGAAAGAGAAGACACCAGCAAAGCCAAGCUCCAGGUAAACUCAGCUCCUACAGUGUUUUGCCUCCCAGUCGGCUAUGACAGGCGCAGGAUGCCUUACUCUUGUGUGUGGGUACCUCAGAGAACAGGCCUCACUGAAAGAAAGACAUUUUUUCAUCCACUCAAGGGAGGCUGACGUGCUUGCUUGUGUGAUGUGGAAUCAAGGAAUGCAUUAAAAAUGUAAUUAUUUUGACACAUUCCUUUAAAAAGGUUUUUAUUCUUAAUGCAAAGUGGUUUAGACGGCCAUUGUGAACGAGAAGCCACCGUCCUUGGUCCCUAAACUGUGAGCACCUUGAAGACGCGACACCAGACACAAUCAGCAGUCACCAGGAAUUUGAAGACAGAUUGUGGGGAGGGAUCAUUUCCGAGCUGGGAGAAGCCGAGAUCUUUUCUUCUUAUUCCUCCCAGAAUUCUCUCUGCACAGCAUUUUAUUCCAUCUUACAAGCCAAGGCUCAUUUUUCCUCAUAAAAACAGUUUGGAAGGUGACUAAUCCACUGUGCUUUCCCCCUAAAAACUUACUGAUUCUGCAACACCUCAGUGAGAAAUGCCACAGACACCAUUCCUCAGAAACAAAUUCUGGAUGAGAGCAUAACACUGGAAUCAUCACCCUGCUUCCAGACCACUGAGGGCUGUGAUGGGUGCCCAAGAAUCAUGGGUGAAGUUUCUCAUUCAGGGGAGAAGUUUGUCUGUUUCUGUCCCAUCCCAUUUUGCCUUGGUUUGAUGCUAAGAGAUGGAACCCCUUAACACUUGCCCCCCAAUCUCUUCUCUUUCUACCCACCCCAUAGUCAUAGAGGGGCUCAGAUGGUCUGCAGCAAAAUACCAUUUGAAUCACUGAUGAAUAAUUUACAUGCACAGCAGGUGGGAGUGAGUUAGUACAUAAAGGUCCUUUGAAGAGGAAAAAAAAUGUUGCUGCCUUAGAGAACGUUGACCUUGGCAACAGUCCGUGAGGAAGCCUUUCCAGAGGAAAGGUAAUGCUUUGCAAGUGUCCAGGGAGUCUCAUGGCACACAUCGAAGGCCUUGCAGGCUAGAGCUGGUUUUUAAACACACAUCUGUCCAGUCACUACCCAAAAGGUGAAGGGCUCCAACUCUAUCUGAGGUAACAGCUGUAGGCAGAGCCUACGAGGAAAGAAUUCUAGCGAAUUCUAGCGUCACGGGGUUUUCUCAUCCUAACAACUGCCUCUCCUUACUGUGUCCACUCUUAUCUCCAGGCCUUCUAAUAAAGUUAUUUGAAAUUGAAGACAAGCUUAAAACUCCAGCCACCCUAAAGAAGCACACCAAUUUCCUUUCAGGGUAACAAUUCUAUCUGGAACAAAAGUGCUUGUAGGUGUAUAUGUAUCUGGAUUAAGCAAGGCUGUCAGCAUUUAGUAUAAAUGGAAAUGUCUUCUCUUUUCAGGAUGUAGGCAUAAGAAUUGGCUUUUGAAAACAGUCAAAUUCAUAUUUCUAAUAGGAAAAAAAAAAAGCAGAGAAAGAACUAAAGAUGCACUUAGCUUUUUAUUCAAGACCAAGCAUGUUGUUCCCCCAGUCUGGUUAAUUUUGGAUGCUGACAUCAUGCAUGCAUUUUAAAUUAUUAGGCAGAUAAUCACUUCCUUAAAAUAAUUUCCAUGCUCAGCUACAAUAAAAUAGAUUUCUUUCAAAGACCCCUUGGUAAAAUGUGCUCAGUGUUACUUUCUGUAUCACGCAGGUCAAUUUAAUUCAGCAUGGCUCUCUCUACCCAGCUAAACAAUCGCUUUUCAGUCUCUGGAGAGCAUGGUGAAUGCAGCCAAGAAUACCCAUCCAGAGACGGCCUUGGACACUUGUUCAUAAAAACUUGACAUCUCAAGUCCCACUCUUUAUUAAUCUCUUGUCAAAGAGUUAGUCAAGAUUUCUGGGGGAAAAAUGUCAAUGUCAUAUAAAUCAUUAUUAAUUAUUCAAUAAUGAAUGAGAUUAAAAUGGAAGAAUGAACCAUUUCAAAAAUGGGCAGGCAAGCAUCCCAUUCACCAGUGGCCCCUCCCACAAGGGCUUCACCUCACCAUCUGCAGUCUGCAUUUCUCUGUAGCUGCAGACUGAAACAACUACCAAUGCACUUGAUAUUUUACAGAGCAGGAGCAAAGACGGUCUGUGUUUGGAUAUCAGUCAGGUGCUUUCAUUUAAGUCUGCUCCUGAAGGUCCCUUAGCUAGAAGCUUGGUCCUCAUAUAAGUGUAUUAAGAGGUUGUAGGGGUAGUGGUGAGUCACGAGGGGAAAUUUCUGCCUCUCAAAGGUGUUAAUAUAGUUCUCUCAGGACCCUGGUUAAUUCUUGAAGCUAGUUUCUUAUAAAGUGAGACCACUCAAACGUGUUCACCUUUUGUACCAAGUUACCUUUGUUUUGGUGUAGUGGGGGUGGGGGCAGCGACAGAAAGGACACAGUUACUAGGGGUUAAGCAUCUAGGACUACCUGGUUUUCGAUUCUCGUUUUCCAACAUCGUAAGCUACGCAAACCUCUUUUCUUUGUUAAACACCUAGACUCAGUUUCUUAGAGUGACAUCUUGCAGGUGUCUAAGUCGUGACUCUCCAGAAGCAGAGACAAGGUUUCCAGCACAAAUAGUUUAUCUGCAGGUGAUUGGAGAAAAUUCAGGUGGAGAAGGACAGGAGUGAGGUAGGCAAGAGAAAUAAUCAAAUUUGCACUAAUGAAAGGUUACAGUAUGGCCAGCUGGGUCCUAGUGCAGCUGAGGACUUGUGGGCAAUGGUUGGAACAUAUGUGAGAGUUGUGUGAGCAUUCAGUAGCUGGACUGUGCAGUCACCGACUCUCAUUCGUCAAAGGUUGAGGGGGCAAGUCUACCUUUCUACCACAGAAAACUCCUUCGGAGGUUUCCAGGCUAUGCUGGAAUUGAGAGCUCCCGAAAUGGGAAGGAAGGCAAUGGUUUCUCCAACAAGGCAAACUAAACUAAAACGUUCAAUGCCAAGACGUUGUUUAAAGUCUAACCUGCAUCUGUUGCCUAUGCGUUGGGAGUGACCCCCAGAAGGUACUCUCCUUAGGCCUGUGCAAUGUGAGAUUAAACAGCCUCUCGGAGACGCUCUAUUACUUCUACAGAGGUCUAUUGUAGCCUCAUACUCCCCCUUUUUAAAAUGACAAUGAAUUAUUCUAAAUUAAAGCCAGGAAUGAGAUAGUGUGAAGAACACAAUUUUAAACCAGAAGUAGUGUCUGUAUCUCUAAUAUCAACACUUAUGGAGAGAGGCAAGAGGAUCAGGAGUUCAAGACUCACCUGGAUUAUGGUAAAUUCCAGGCUAGACUGGGCUCUCAACAAGAUUCUGUUGCAACCCACAUCAAAAAGAAGAGCAAAACACAAAAAUUUGAAAUUCUUUUUUUAUUAGCCUCUCACAUCCUUAAUGUAUUGUCCUAAGGACUUCCAACGGCGUUAUAAUGUAGGUGAAGACCCCACCAUUCAUGCUGCCUGUGGUCCUGGGCCUCCGGAUCAUUUCUUCCUCUAUAAUACAGUGAGUUGGAUGAGAGUGGACACCCAGAUCAUGGGUGAUUGAUUAAUCAGAAAAAUCUGGCUAAAAUAAUUCUAUGGCUUGACUUGAAAACAUAGCUGAGGUGAUCAUAUCUCUUUCAAGGAUCUGAGCUGUGGAGCAGAAGCCAAGUGUCUGUGAACAGCAGGCAUAGAGGGCAGGAGCUUAGAAGGCAGAGCUUCAUUAGUAGUUGCAAGAGCACAAAGGACUCAAGAACAACAAGGUCGGGGUAGAUGAAUGAUUGGCUCACUACUCAAUUGAUCAGGGUAUCUAACUGACCCAAAUGCUGAGAUCCCGGGAUGUAAGAGUGCCUCGCCCAUAGUAGUGCCUCAGUGGACAUUUGUGGAGUUGAUGAAUGCAUGUCUGGAAGUUCAAGUAAUGGAGGAACCGUGCAUGUCACAGCAAGGAGACAGAAGGAAAGAGAAGUCAGAAGCAGAAUUCAGGCAUGGAAGCCUUGUAAUGAACAUGCCAAUGAUAUGUCCAUAUGAUCAUAGAUUAUAGCUUCAUUAAUAGAUGUGGUGUUUUCUGAAUCAUCAGAUAAGAAAGCAGAUGCAUGGAGAGAUUAAAUACUUUCCCAGGAAGACAUGGUUAACACCAGGAAGAGGCUGGAUCUAAACCAGGCCAUCUGUCUCUGAAAAAUGACCCUUCAUCAUUUCACCUCUGCUAAGAACUGCAGGCCCUCUUAUGUGGUGAUAUGUUGUGUAUCAAAUAAAGCUUGCCUGAAGGUCAGAGGACAGAGCCAGCCACUAGAUUAAACAUAGAGGACAGGUAGUGGUGGCACACACCUUUAAUCCUAGCACUCAGGAGGCAGAGAUCCGUCUGGAUCUCUGUGAGUUCAAAGCCACCCUAGACUACAUGAGAUUGACUCAGUCUAGGAGAGAAAAAAGAACCAGGCAGUGGUGGCACACACCUUGAAUCCCAAUACUUGGGAGUCACAAACCUUUAAUUCCAGCACUUGAGAUCUCCCAACUUUAAUUCCAGUAUUUGGGAAGCACACACACCAUUAAUCCCAGCACUAGGAAGGAAGUAAUGGCUGGGCAGAGAAAGGUAUAUAAGGUGUGAGGAGACAGGAACUAGAGCCUUUUGGCUGAGCCCUUUUGGCUAAGGACUGAUGGAAUUCAGCCUGAGCAUUCGUGGGUCAGCUGAGGAGUUGGCAACGAGGUGAGAAGUGGCAGUGACUUGUUCCUUUGUCUCUCUGAUCUUUCAGCAUUUACCCCAAUAUCUGGCUCUGGGUUUUUAUUAUAAGACCAUUUAGGAUUUGUGCAACACCCUUAUACUUGUGGCAAGUUCCAAAGUCAAGGUUGGCCCAUCUGGCCCUAGAUGAUGACUUGAUUACAUGCUUCCCUGCCUACCCCUACAGUAUUGAGGUGCACCUAUCUCCUCAACUAGAGAUUGCCUCAGUGGGUCUCCUUUUUGUUGCAAUCAAGAAGCAGCAUUACCACAGUACAGG